UACGUGCUCCGGGGUCGGUGAAAGUCCGAGCCGGCGGUGACAGUCCGCGACCUGCACGUUCGUCCCGCCGGGGCGCGCGUGCAGCUGAGCUGGUGGAAUUCCAGCACCGACGGUGAAAGUCCGGAUGGGAGGAAGCACGAG
rnacentral:ncRNA from 2 species